rnacentral:rRNA from 1 species
GACGAACGCUGGCGGCGUGCUUAACACAUGCAAGUCGAACGGAAAGGCCCUGCUUUUGUGGGGUGCUCGAGUGGCGAACGGGUGAGUAACACGUGAGUAACCUGCCCUUGACUUUGGGAUAACUUCAGGAAACUGGGGCUAAUACCGGAUAGGAGCUCCUGCUGCAUGGUGGGGGUUGGAAAGUUUCGGCGGUUGGGGAUGGACUCGCGGCUUAUCAGCUUGUUGGUGGGGUAGUGGCUUACCAAGGCUUUGACGGGUAGCCGGCCUGAGAGGGUGACCGGCCACACUGGGACUGAGAUACGGCCCAGAAUCCUACGGGAGGCAGCAGUGGGGAAUAUUGCACAAUGGGCGGAAGCCUGAUGCAGCAACGCCGCGUGCGGGAUGACGGCCUUCGGGUUGUAAACCGCUUUCGCCUGUGACGAAGCGUGAGUGACGGUAAUGGGUAAAGAAGCACCGGCUAACUACGUG